GUAGUAACGUCAGAGGUAGUAACGUCAGAGGUAGUAACGUCAGCGGUAGUAACGUCAGCGGUAGUAACGUCAGAGGUAGUAACGUCAGCGGUAGUAACGUCAGCGGUAGUAACGUCAGCGGUAGUAACGUCAGCGGUAGUAACGUCAGCGGUAGUAACGUCAGAGGUAGUAACGUCAGCGGUACUAACGUCAGCGGUAGUAACGUCAGCGGU